AUACGUAGGUGACAAGCGUUAUCCGGAUUUACUGGGCGUAAAGGGCGUGUAGGCGGUCUUGCAAGUCAGAAGUGAAAUUCCUGAGCUCAACUCGGGCGCUGCUUCUGAAACUGCAGGACUUGAGUGCUGGAGGGGAUAGCGGAAUUCCUAGUGGAGCGGUAAAAUGCGCAGAUAUUAGGAAGAACACCGGUGGCGAAGGCGGCUAUCUGGCCAGUAACUGACGUUGAGGCGCGAAAGCGUGGGGAGAAAACAGGAUUAGAUACCCGGGUAGUCCACGCCGUAAACGAUGAAUACUAGGUGUAGGGGGUAUCGACUCCCUCUGUGCCGCAGUUAACACAAUAAGUAUUCCGCCUGGGGAGUACGGCCGCAAGGUUGAAACUCAAAUGAAUUGACGGGG
rnacentral:rRNA from 1 species